UACGUAGGGGCGUAGCGUUGUCCGGAUUUAUUGGGCGUAAAGAGCGUGUAGGCGGCCAGGUAGGUCUGGUGUGAAAACUCGAGGCUUAACCUCGAGAUGUCAUCGGAAACCAUCUGGCUAGAGUCCGGAAGAGGAGAGUGGAAUUCCUGGUGUAGCGGUGAAAUGCGCAGAUAUCAGGAAGAACACCAAUGGCGAAAGCAGCUCUCGUGGGACGGUACUGACGCUGAGACGCGAAAGCGUGGGGAGCGAACAGG
rnacentral:rRNA from 1 species